rnacentral:tRNA from 1 species
AGGCUUUUAGAUGAAUGGCAUCGUUGCGUUUUCGGCACGUAAUAAUAUGGGGGUUCCGACCCAUAAAGGCUUU